AUUGAACGCUGGCGGCAGGCCUAACACAUGCAAGUCGAGCGGUAGAGAGAAGCUUGCUUCUCUUGAGAGCGGCGGACGGGUGAGUAAUGCCUAGGAAUCUGCCUGGUAGUGGGGGAUAACGUUCGGAAACGGACGCUAAUACCGCAUACGUCCUACGGGAGAAAGCAGGGGACCUUCGGGCCUUGCGCUAUCAGAUGAGCCUAGGUCGGAUUAGCUAGUUGGUGAGGUAAUGGCUCACCAAGGCGACGAUCCGUAACUGGUCUGAGAGGAUGAUCAGUCACACUGGAACUGAGACACGGUCCAGACUCCUACGGGAGGCAGCAGUGGGGAAUAUUGGACAAUGGGCGAAAGCCUGAUCCAGCCAUGCCGCGUGUGUGAAGAAGGUCUUCGGAUUGUAAAGCACUUUAAGUUGGGAGGAAGGGCAGUUACCUAAUACGUGAUUGUUUGACGUUACCGACAGAAUAAGCACCGGCUAACUCUGUGCCAGCAG
rnacentral:rRNA from 1 species